UACGGGGGGGGCAAGCGUUGUUCGGAAUUACUGGGCGUAAAGGGUCUGUAGGUGGCCAACUAAGUCAGACGUGAAAUCCCUCAGCUUAACUGGGGAACUGCGUCUGAGACUGGAUGGCUCGAGUGCAGGAGAGGAAUGCGGAAUUCCAGGUGUAGCGGUGAAAUGCGCAGAUAUCGGGAGGAACACCAAUGGCGAAGGCAGCUUGCUGGGACGGUACUGACGCUGAGGCGCGAAAGCGUGGGGAGCAAACAGG
rnacentral:rRNA from 1 species